AUACGUAGGGGGCGAGCGUUGUCCGGAAUGAUUGGGCGUAAAGGGCGCGUAGGCGGCGCGGUAAGUCUGGAGUGAAAGUCCUGCUUUCAAGGUGGGAAUUGCUUUGGAUACUGCCGCGCUUGAGUGCAGGAGAGGUUAUCGGAAUUCCCGGUGUAGCGGUGAAAUGCGUAGAGAUCGGGAGGAACACCAGUGGCGAAGGCGGGUAACUGGACUGCAACUGACGCUGGGGCGCGAAAGUGUGGGGAGCAAACAGGAUUAGAUACCCUGGUAGUCCACACUGUAAACGAUGAAUGCUAGGUGUAAGAGGUAUCGACCCCUUUUGUGCCGGAGUCAACACAAUAAGCAUUCCGCCUGGGGAGUACGGCCGCAAGGUUGAAACUCAAAUGAAUUGACGGGG
rnacentral:rRNA from 1 species